AGGAACGGAAUUCCUAAAGAAUCAUUACAAGGUUUUGCUCUUACCUCCGUUUUUCAUGUUUGUUUCCUUGGAACAAGGUUUGGGUCAAAACAUGCUGUUAGAAGAGAAGAG